GGCGCGUUGGCAGAAUGGUGUAUGCAGUGGAUUGCAAAUCCAUUAAUCUCGGUUCAAUUCCGAGACGCGCCU
rfam:Glossina palpalis gambiensis isolate 146720 unplaced genomic scaffold Scaffold710, whole genome shotgun sequence.